AGAGUUUGAUCCUGGCUCAGAACGAACGCUGGCGGCGUGGAUAAGACAUGCAAGUCGAACGCUGGCUUCAGGGUAGCAAUAUUCUGAAGUCGGAGUGGCGCAAGGGUGCGUAACACGUGGGCAAUUUGCCGUGAAGUUGGGGAUAACUCGCUGAAAGGCGAGCUAAUACCGAAUGUGACUGUUUGGAGGCAUCUCUGGACAGUUGAAGUUGGGGACCGCAAGGCCUGACGCUUCAUGAUGAGCCCGCGGCCUAUCAGCUAGUUGGUGAGGUAACGGCCCACCAAGGCUAAGACGGGUAGCUGGUCUGAGAGGACGACCAGCCACACUGGAACUGAGACACGGUCCAGACACCUACGGGUGGCAGCAGUCGAGAAUUUUUCUCAAUGGGCGAAAGCUUGAAGGAGCGACGCCGCGUGGGGGAUGAAGGGCUUCGGCCUGUAAACCCCUGUCAUUUGCGAACAAACCCACUCAUCUAACACAUGGGUGGCUGAUAGUAGUGAAAGAGGAAGGGACGGCUAACUCUGUGCCAGCAGCCGCGGUAAUACAGAGGUCCCAAGCGUUGUUCGGAUUCACUGGGCGUAAAGGGUGCGUAGGUGGCGGAAAAAGUUCGAUGUGAAAUCUCCGGGCUUAACCCGGAAACGGCAUUGAAUACUGUUUCGCUCGAGGGUCGGAGGGGAGACUGGAAUUCUCGGUGUAGCAGUGAAAUGCGUAGAUAUCGAGAGGAACACCAGUGGCGAAAGCGAGUCUCUGGACGACACCUGACACUGAGGCACGAAAGCUAGGGGAUCAAACAGGAUUAGAUACCCUGGUAGUCC
rnacentral:rRNA from 1 species